rnacentral:lncRNA from 1 species
GUUGCAAUUUGGCAGUGGUUUGAGGGAUGGGAGAAAAGAAAUAGCAUUUUAUAAUUCAGAAUAUAAAUAAAUUAUAUCUAGAGUGGAAUAACUUAGGAGGUAUUCAAUUUUCUUUGUUUCUUUAAUUUAAAUUAGUUUUUCAUAAAACAGUUUGAUUUGUAAUAGAUAACAAAAGAAAUAGCAUUUUAUUAUUCAAGGCAAAAUAAUAUUAUUUAAUUAAUUUGUAAUAGAUAACACAAGAAAGAGUUAAUUUGAUGGAAAAAAAACUGCUAUCAAAUUGAUUACUGAAGCAUU